CCAGACUCCUACGGGAGGCAGCAGUGGGGAAUAUUGCACAAUGGGGGAAACCCUGAUGCAGCGACGCCGCGUGAGUGAAGAAGUAUUUCGGUAUGUAAAGCUCUAUCAGCAGGGAAGAAAUAGCGACCUUUGGGUCGCCAGACGGUACCUGAUUAAGAAGCCCCGGCUAACUACGUGCCAGCAGCCGCGGUAAUACGUAUGGAGCAAGCGUUAUCCGGAUUUACUGGGUGUAAAGGGAGAGUAGGUGGCAGAGCAAGUCCGAAGUAAAAACCCAAAGCUCAACUAUGGGAAUGCUUUAGAAACUGCUCAGCUAGAGUGCAGGAGAGGCAAGUGGAAUUCUUAGUGUAGCGGUGAAAUGCGUAGAUAUUAGGAGGAACACCAGUGGCGAAGGCGGCUUGCUGGACUGUAACUGACACUGAGGCUCGAAAGCGUGGGGAGCAAACAGGAUUAGAUACCCGGGUAA
rnacentral:rRNA from 1 species